rnacentral:rRNA from 1 species
UGGGGAAUUUUGGACAAUGGGGGAAACCCUGAUCCAGCCAUCCCGCGUGUGCGAUGAAGGCCUUCGGGUUGUAAAGCACUUUUGGCAGGAAAGAAACGUCGUGGGUUAAUACCCCGCGAAACUGACGGUACCUGCAGAAUAAGCACCGGCUAACUACGUGCCAGCAGCCGCGGUAGUACGUAGGGUGCAAGCGUUAAUCGGAAUUACUGGGCGUAAAGCGUGCGCAGGCGGUUCGGAAAGAAAGAUGUGAAAUCCCAGAGCUUAACUUUGGAACUGCAUUUUUAACUACCGGGCUAGAGUGUGUCAGAGGGAGGUGGAAUUCCGCGUGUAGCAGUGAAAUGCGUAGAUAUGCGGAGGAACACCGAUGGCGAAGGCAGCCUCCUGGGAUAACACUGACGCUCAUGCACGAAAGCGUGGGGAGCAAACAGGAUUAGAUACCCUGGUAGUCCACGCCCUAAACGAUGUCAACUAGCUGUUGGGGUCUUCGGACCUUGGUAGCGCAGCUAACGCGUGAAGUUGACCGCCUGGGGAGUAC